UACGGAGGGAGCUAGCGUUGUUCGGAAUUACUGGGCGUAAAGCGCACGUAGGCGGCUUUGUAAGUUAGGGGUGAAAGCCCGGAGCUCAACUCCGGAAUUGCCUUUAAGACUGCAUCGCUUGAAUCCGGGAGAGGUGAGUGGAAUUCCGAGUGUAGAGGUGAAAUUCGUAGAUAUUCGGAAGAACACCAGUGGCGAAGGCGGCUCACUGGACCGGUAUUGACGCUGAGGUGCGAAAGCGUGGGGAGCAAAACGG
rnacentral:rRNA from 1 species